rnacentral:rRNA from 1 species
UACGGAGGGUGCGAGCGUUGUCCGGAAUCAUUGGGCGUAAAGGGCGCGUAGGUGGUGGGGUCAGUUCGUGGUGAAAGCGCGGGGCUCAACCCCGCGUCGGCCAUGAAUACUGCUUCACUUGAGCACUGUAGAGGCAGGCGGAAUUCCGGGUGUAGCGGUGGAAUGCGUAGAGAUCCGGAAGAACACCGGUGGCGAAGGCGGCCUGCUGGGCAGUGGCUGACACUGAGGCGCGACAGCGUGGGGAGCAAACAGG